rnacentral:misc_RNA from 1 species
GAUGAAGAACGCAGCGAAAUGCGAUAAGUAAUGUGAAUUGCAGAAUUCAGUGAAUCAUCGAAUCUUUGAACGCACCUUGCACUCCUUGGUAUUCCGAGGAGUACGCCUGUUCGAGUGUUAUGAAGCUCUCAAAACGCAAUUGGCUUAAAACCUGAUUGUUGUUUUGGAUUUGAACUUUGCCGUGUUAUAACGGCUGGUUUUAAAAGUAUUAGCUGGUACUAGAACGAAUUGGUUCUACUCCACGUGAUAAUUAUCUGAUCGUUGAGGACAUUCCUUUCACGAGGAAUGGCCAUAGUAAAUUCAAUGGACUGCUUCUAAUCUUGCUUUAAUUCUUUAUUGGAUUAACCACUUUUCAAAUCUGACCUCGAAUCAGGUGGGACUACCCGCUGAACUUAAGCAUAUCAAUAAGCGGAGGA